GGAAUCUUGCGCAAUGGGCGAAAGCCUGACGCAGCCAUGCCGCGUGAAUGAUGAAGGUCUUAGGAUUGUAAAAUUCUUUCACCGGGGACGAUAAUGACGGUACCCGGAGAAGAAGCCCCGGCUAACUUCGUGCCAGCAGCCGCGGUAAUACGAAGGGGGCUAGCGUUGCUCGGAAUUACUGGGCGUAAAGGGAGCGUAGGCGGACAUUUAAGUCAGGGGUGAAAUCCCGGGGCUCAACCUCGGAAUUGCCUUUGAUACUGGGUGUCUUGAGUAUGAGAGAGGUGUGUGGAACUCCGAGUGUAGAGGUGAAAUUCGUAGAUAUUCGGAAGAACACCAGUGGCGAAGGCGACACACUGGCUCAUUACUGACGCUGAGGCUCGAAAGCGUGGGGAGCAAACA
rnacentral:rRNA from 1 species